UACGUAGGGUGCGAGCGUUGUCCGGAAUUACUGGGCGUAAAGAGCUCGUAGGUGGUUUGUCGCGUUGUCCGUGAAAACUCACAGCUUAACUGUGGGCGUGCGGGCGAUACGGGCAGACUGGAGUACUGCAGGGGAGACUGGAAUUCCUGGUGUAGCGGUGGAAUGCGCAGAUAUCAGGAGGAACACCGGUGGCGAAGGCGGGUCUCUGGGCAGUAACUGACGCUGAGGAGCGAAAGCGUGGGUAGCAAACAGG
rnacentral:rRNA from 1 species